rnacentral:misc_RNA from 1 species
CAGAGUUGCAAAACUCCCACAAACCAUCGCGAAUCUUACCCGUACGGUUGCCUCGGCGCUGGCGGUCCGGAAGGCCCUCGGGCCCCCCGGAUCCUCGGGUCUCCCGCUCGCGGGAGGCUGCCCGCCGGAGUGCCGAAACCAAACUCUUGACAUUUUAUGUCUCUCUGAGUAAACUUUUAAAUAAGUCA